rnacentral:ncRNA from 1 species
UAUUUAUUAUAUGAUAGGGGUUAAUGUGUUAAUAAUCACUUAACCUAGACCUUGAAUCUACACCCUCUAACCUUCUAAAUCAUUUACCCAUAACCCUUCUAAAAACACAAUGUGAUUUAUUCACAUUGCUCUGCAUGUCAAAGUGAAGAAAUUCAACCAAGCACGGGUAAAUGGAGGGAGUAACUAUAACUAUAUUAAGGUAGCAAGAUGCCUCAACAUCUAAUUAGUGACGUGCAUGAAUGGAUCAUUAACGAGAUUCCCCCUUGUCCCUACUUACUAUAUUCUAUAGAAACCAAAGCCAAGGGAAUGGGCUUGGCAGAAUUAGUGGGGAAAGAAGACCCUCAUGUUGAGCUUGACUCUAGUCCUAACCCAUUCAUAAUUUGGGA